rnacentral:SRP_RNA from 1 species
GCUGCAUGUGAAUGCCUGUAAUCCUUGCUGUUAAGGGGAGGCUGAAGCUGGCAGAUCUCUUGAGCUCCAGAGUUCCAAGCUACAGUGAGCUAAGCUGAUCAAUGUCCACACUGAGUUUGACAUUAAUAUGAUAAGCCCUGGAGAUCAGGGGGCUAACAGGUUGCUGAAAGAGGGGAAAAGCAGCCCAAGUUGGAUAUGGAGCAAGUCAAAACUCCUGUGACUACUAGAGUGGGAUUGGGUCUGUGAGUAGCUCCUGUACUUCCAGUCUGGGCAAGAUAGGGAGACUUAA